rnacentral:rRNA from 1 species
CCUACGGGUGGCAGCAGUGAGGAAUAUUGGUCAAUGGACGAGAGUCUGAACCAGCAAAGUAGCGUGAAGGAUGACUGCCCUAUGGGUUGUAAACUUCUUUUAUAUGGGAAUAAAAUGUUCCACGUGUGGGAUUUUGUAUGUACCAUAUGAAUAAGGCUCGGCUAACUCCGUGCCAGCAGCCGCGGUAAUACGGAGGAUCCGAGCGUUAUCCGGAUUUAUUGGGUUUAAAGGGAGCGUAGGUGGAUUGUUAAGUCAGUUGUGAAAGUUUGCGGCUCAACCGUAAAAUUGCAGUUGAAACUGGCAGUCUUGAGUACAGUAGAGGUGGGCGGAAUUCGUGGUGUAGCGGUGAAAUGCUUAGAGAUCACGAAGAACUCCGAUUGCGAAGGCAGUUCACUGGACUGCAACUGACACUGAGGCUCGAAAGUGUGGGUAUCAAACAGGAUUAGAUACCCCGGUAGUC